UACGGGGGGGGCAAGCGUUGUUCGGAAUUACUGGGCGUAAAGGGCUCGUAGGCGGCCAACUAAGUCAUACGUGAAAUCCCUCAGCUUAACUGGGGAACUGCGUGUGAUACUGGAUGGCUUGGAUUUGGGAGAGGGAUGCGGAAUUCCAGGUGUAGCGGUGAGAUGCGUAGAUAUCGAGAGGAACACCGGUGGCGAAGGCGGCCAACUGGACGAACACUGACGCUGAGACACGAAAGCGUGGGGAGCAAACAGG
rnacentral:rRNA from 1 species